rnacentral:rRNA from 1 species
GAUGAACGCUAGCGGAGGCUUAACACAUGCAAGUCGAGGGGCAGCAUAGGGUAGCAAUACUCUGAUGGCGACCGGCAAACGGGUGAGUAACGCGUAUGCAACCUACCCUGUACAGGGGAUAACCCGGAGAAAUUCGGACUAAUAUCCCGUAAUAAUAUCCGGAGGCAUCUUUGGAUAUUAAAGUUCCGACGGUACGGGAUGGGCAUGCGUAACAUUAGCUGGUUGGUAAGGUAACGGCUUACCAAGGCUAUGAUGUUUAGGGGUCCUGAGAGGGUGGUCCCCCACACUGGUACUGAGACACGGACCAGACUCCUACGGGAGGCAGCAGUGAGGAAUAUUGGUCAAUGGGCGCAAGCCUGAACCAGCCAUCCCGCGUGCAGGAAGACGGCCCUAUGGGUUGUAAACUGCUUUUCCAGGGAGAGAAACUUACGCACGUGUUGCGUGACUGACGGUACCCUGGGAAUAAGCAUCGGCUAACUCCGUG